UGCAAAAUAGUUCGGUCGGUAGAGCAUGAGUCUCUUAAUCUCAGAGUGAUGGGUUUGAAUCCCAUGUUGGGCAA